GACGAACGCUGGCGGCGUGCUUAACACAUGCAAGUCGAACGGAAAGGCCCUGCUUUUGUGGGGUGCUCGAGUGGCGAACGGGUGAGUAACACGUGAGUAACCUGCCCUUGACUUUGGGAUAACUUCAGGAAACUGGGGCUAAUACCGUAUAGGAGCUCCUGCUGCAUGGUGGGGGUUGGAAAGUUUCGGCGGUUGGGGAUGGACUCGCGGCUUAUCAGCUUGUUGGUGGGGUAGUGGCUUACCAAGGCUUUGACGGGUAGCCGGCCUGAGAGGGUGACCGGCCACAUUGGGACUGAGAUACGGCACAGACUCCUAAGGGAGGCAGCAGUGGGGAAUAUUGCACAAUGGGCGGAAGCCUGAUGCAGAAACGCCGCGUGCGGGAUGACGGCCUUCGGGUUGUAAACCGCUUUCGCCUGUGACGAAGCGUGAGUGACGGUAAUGGGUAAAGAAGCACCGGCUAACUACGUG
rnacentral:rRNA from 1 species